UGCUCAUGCUACUGAGUAGUUCUGCUGU
rnacentral:piRNA from 1 species